GUGCUUGCUUCAGCAGCACAUAUACAAAAUAAUGGAACUAUGCAGAGAAGGUUAGUAUGGCCCCUGCACAAGGAUGACAUGCAAAUUUGUGAAGCAUUCCAUAUUAAA
rnacentral:snRNA from 1 species